CCUACGGGCGGCUGCAGUGGGGAAUAUUGGACAAUGGGCGCAAGCCUGAUCCAGCCAUGCCGCGUGAGUGAUGAAGGCCUUAGGGUUGUAAAGCUCUUUUGCCGGGGACGAUAAUGACGGUACCCGGAGAAUAAGUCCCGGCUAACUUCGUGCCAGCAGCCGCGGUAAUACGAAGGGGACUAGCGUUGUUCGGAAUCACUGGGCGUAAAGCGCACGUAGGCGGAUAUGCCAGUCAGGGGUGAAAUCCCGGGGCUCAACCUCGGAACUGCCCUUGAUACAGCAUGUCUUGAGUCCGAUAGAGGUGGGUGGAAUUCCUAGUGUAGAGGUGAAAUUCGUAGAUAUUAGGAAGAACACCAGUGGCGAAGGCGGCCCACUGGAUCGGUACUGACGCUGAGGUGCGAAAGCGUGGGGAGCAAACAGGAUUAGAUACCCCAGUAGUC
rnacentral:rRNA from 1 species